rnacentral:rRNA from 1 species
CCUACGGGUGGCAGCAGUGGGGAAUUUUGGGCAAUGGGGGGAAGCCUGACGCAGCAACGCCGCGUGAUUGACGAAGGCCUUAGGGGUGUUAAGAUCUGUCAGUGGGGGCGAAGCUUUCCGGUACCGACCUGGGAGGCAUCGGCUUACGCCGUGCAAGCAGCCGCGGUAAUACGUGGGCUGCAAGCGUUAUACGGAAUCAGUGGGCGUAAAGGGGUCGUAGGUGGCACGUUAAGUCUGGUGGUAAAUGCAGAGGAUCAACCUCUGUUCGGCAGUGGAUACUGGCGAGCUUGAGUGCGGUAGAGGUAAGGGGAAUUCGUGGUGUAGCGGUGAAAUGCGUAGAUAUCAGGAGGAACACCGGUGGCGUAAGCGCUUUGCUGGGCCGUAAUUGACGCUGAGGAACGAAAGCGAGGGUAGCAAACGGGAUUAGAUACCCCAGUAGUC